UCUGCUGGAGCUUCUGGCCGCGCCUCUGCGUCGCCGGAGCUCCACGCCACCGCUGCCGCCGCCGGAAACCAUCUCUGAAGCCUGUUUGCUUGGGUAUACGGUCACCGCGAGUUUCUCUGCCGCCGUCCAAGCUGCCACCAGAAGGAUCCACCACAGCCUCCUCUGUUCUUCUUUUCGAAUCAGAACUGCCUUUUUCCAAUUUCAAUCUCAAUUCUUCUAUUUCUGAAUAUUUCUGCUAAGGUAUGUUUGAAAAAUUAAAAUGGGUGUUGCUGCCACCACAUUGGAAUCACUGCUGCUGCCAUAAAACAGAAAGGGAAGGGAGUUACUAUGUUUAACCUAUGUGAAUUCAGCUAGUUGAGCUUUACCUUUUCAGGAACCGGAUGAAGAGGCAUUAAGAAGAGUUAUACUG